CAUUUCUAUAAUAUAAUGUUAAUGCAUUGGAUCCCAUUAGAACUGCACAGUUAAGUGCGCUUAGGAUAGAUUAGUAUUGGGAUGGGUGAUUUCCCAGGAAGUCCUAGUGUUUUAUAUGC
rnacentral:rRNA from 1 species